rnacentral:sRNA from 1 species
GAAGGUGGCAGUUCUGCUACAGCGGACAGUCCUGGGGUGACAGGAGGCCGCGGGUCCCCCAGUACCCGAGACCCAGGCUCAGGAGGCACCUCAGUGUGACCGGCAGGGGCCUCUUCCUUGCUCACAAGCCCAUCGAGGGGCCUCCUGCCACCCUGGGAACCCAGCUCUGGCCCCGACUCACGGGGCCUCUGAAUGGUCCUUCCGGGGGCCACGAGGGACGAGCCGUCCUGUCUCUGCCGUGAACAAGUCUCUGCGGGUUCUCCAUUAAAGCCCAGUUGUAACCUGGACCUUGAAGCUCAGCUCCUGCAGAGGUGCCAGAGAAGCCUGAGCCAGUGCCGCUGGAGAGCCGCUCCUGCGUCCUCAUCCGCCGCGACCUCGUGGCCCUACCUGCCAGCCUCAUCAGCCAGAUCGGAUACCGCUGCCAUCCCAAGCUCUACUCGGAAGGGGACCC